rnacentral:rRNA from 1 species
UACGUAGGGGGCAAGCGUUGUCCGGAAUCAUUGGGCGUAAAGCGCGCGUAGGCGGCCCUGUAAGUCCGUUGUGAAAGUCAAAGGCUCAACCUUUGAAAGCCGAUGGAUACUGCAGGGCUCGAGUUCGGAAGAGGCGAGUGGAAUUCCUGGUGUAGCGGUGGAAUGCGCAGAGUAUCAGGAGGAACACCAAUAGCGAAGGCAGCUCGCUGGGACGAUACUGACGCUAAGGCGCGAAAGCGUGGGGAGCGAACGAGGA